rnacentral:rRNA from 1 species
AAGUCGAACGAGACGAUUUAGAAGCUUGCUUUUAUUGAGUCGAGUGGCAAACGGGUGAGUAACGCGUAGACAACCUGCGACAAGAUGGGGACAACAGUCCGAAAGGACUGCUAAUACCGAAUGUUGUAUCUCCUCCGNAUGGAAGAGAUAUUAAAGAUGGCCUCUACUUGUAAGCUAUCGCUUUGCGAUGGGUCUGCGUCUGAUUAGCUAGUUGGUGGGGCAACGGCCUACCAAGGCGACGAUCAGUAGCCGGUCUGAGAGGAAGGUCCCCCACAUUGGAACUGAGACACGGUCCAAACUCCUACGGGAGGCAGCAGUGGGGAAUAUUGGUCAAUGGGCGCAGGCCUGAACCAGCCAAGUCGCGUGAGGGAUGACGGUCCUACGGAUUGUAAACCUCUUUUGUCGGGGAGUAACGUGCGGGACGCGUCCCGUAUUGAGAGUACCCGAAGAAAAAGCAUCGGCUAACUCCGUG